rnacentral:tRNA from 1 species
GGGGCCAUAGCUCAGCUGGGAGAGCGCUUCGCUGGCAGCGAAGAGGUCAGGGGUUCGAACCCCCUUGGCUCCA